rnacentral:rRNA from 1 species
CUCAGUAACGGCGAGUGAAGCGGCAAGAGCUCAAAUUUGAAAUCUGGCCCCUCUGGGGUCCGAGUUGUAAUUUGCAGAGGAUGCUUCGGGAGCGGUCCCCGUCUAAGUGCCCUGGAACGGGCCGUCAUAGAGGGUGAGAAUCCCGUCUGGGAUGGGCGGCCGCGCCCGUGUGAAGCUCCUUCGACGAGUCGAGUUGUUUGGGAAUGCAGCUCUAAGUGGGUGGUAAAUUUCAUCUAAAGCUAAAUACUGGCCGGAGACCGAUAGCGCACAAGUAGAGUGAUCGAAAGAUGAAAAGCACUUUGAAAAGAGAGUUAAACAGCACGUGAAAUUGUUGAAAGGGAAGCGUUGUCCACCAGACUCGCCCGGGGGGGCUCAGCCGGCACGUGUGCCGGUGUACUCCCCUCCGGGCGGGCCAGCAUCGGUUUGGGCGGCUGGUGAAAGGCCCUGGGAAUGUAACACCCUCCGGGGUGCCUUAUAGCCCGGGGUGCCAUGCGGCCAGCCUGGACCGAGGCCCGCGCUUCGGCGAGGAUGCUGGCGUAAUGGUGGUCAACGGCCCGUCUUGAAACACGGACCAAGGAGUCUAACAUCUAUGCGAGUGUUCGGGUGUCAAACCCGUCCGCGCAGUGAAAGCGAACGGAGGUGGGAGCCCCUCGGGGCGCACCAUCGACCGAUCCUGAUGUCUUCGGAUGGAUUUGAGUAAGAGCAUAGCUGUUGGGACCCGAAAGAUGGUGAACUAUGCCUGAAUAGGGCGAAGCCAGAGGAAACUCUGGUGGAGGCUCGCAGCGGUUCUGACGUGCAAAUCGAUCGUCAAAUUUGGGUAUAGGGGCGAAAGACUAAUCGAACCAUCUGGUAGCUGGUUCCUGCCGAAGUUUCCCUCAGGAUAGCAGUAACGACAUCAGUUUUAUGAGGUAAAGCGAAUGAUUAGAGGCCUUGGGGUUGAAACAACCUUAACCUAUUCUCAAACUUUAAAUAUGUAAGAAGCCCUUGUUGCUUAGUUGAACGUGGGCGUUAGAAUGAAACGUUACUAGUGGGCCAUUUUUGGUAAGCAGAACUGGCGAUGCGGGAUGAACCGAACGCGAGGUUAAGGUGCCGGAAUGCACGCUCAUCAGACACCACAAAAGGUGUUAGUUCAUCUAGACAGCCCGACGGUGGCCAUGGAAGUCGGAAUCCGCUAAGGAGUGUGUAACAACUCACGGGCCGAAUGAACUAGCCCUGAAAAUGGAUGGCGCUCAAGCGUGCUACCCAUACCUCGCCGUCGGGGUAGAAACGAUGCCCCGACGAGUAGGCAGGCGU